GCCGCCGCCACCCCCUCCCGCCCUGUUCUCUCUUUGGUCGGGCCGGGCCCGGCCGGUUCCACGAGCGCCCGGCAGAGACUGAGGGAGAGAGAGAGAAAGAGGAGGGGAGGAGGAGGAGGAUUCAGGGAAUAGGAGCUGGGGAGCCCUUCUGCGCCACAGAAAAUUUCCAAAGACUUGGUGAAGAUAGGAAAACUAUCAGAAAGGCAGUGGCACCAUUAUCCUAGGCAAAUCUGUUUUACUACUGGGAUAUUUUUAGGAAAGUUCAGAGAAAUGAAGUCCGACUUCGAUUUGGAUCCUUGAAAUAUAAAUUUGACUGAUAUAGCCUUUAUUUUUGAAAAUUCUCAUUAUAUGUGUGUUUGGCAAGUAGCAUGAUGUUGAUAUAGAUUUUUAUAUCAGUCAUAGUGACAUAUUUAAUAUCAUAUCCCUUAUGGAAAGUUUUAUACAACUUCAUUUUAAUGAACUAAAAUGGACAAGGGCUUUUGUAAAUGAAAGCUAUAAUUUCCCUGACUUUAGCUAAUAAUUCUCUUAUGUAAAGUUUCUAUUUC
rnacentral:lncRNA from 1 species